rnacentral:rRNA from 1 species
UUCCGAAAGGAAGGCUAAUACAGCAUGGGACCACGACUCCGAAAGGGGUUGAGGUGAAAGUCGGCCUCUUCACGAAAGCCGACGCCAGGGGAUGAGCCUGCGGCCCAUCAGCUAGUUGGUAGGGUAAUGGCCUACCAAGGCGAAGACGGGUAGCUGGUCUGAGAGGAUGAUCAGCCACACUGGAACUGAGACACGGUCCAGACUCCUACGGGAGGCAGCAGUGGGGGAAUCUUGCGCAAUGGGCGAAAGCCUGACGCAGCGACGCCGCGUGAGUGAUGAAGGCCCUCGGGUUGUAAAGCUCUGUGGAGGGGACGAAUAAGCGUUGGUCAAUAUCCAGCGUGAUGACGGUACCCUUUUAGCAAGCACCGGCUAACUCUGUGCCAGCAGCCGCGGUAA